ensembl:lncRNA
UUUACAUAUUAACAAGAUUUAUUUAUAAGAAAGAAAGAUUGUACACAAAGUUUUACAGUUUUCAAAAAGGCACUUGUAAAAACGACGAUAAUAUAGUUUGAUUCAUGUGCUUCAAAAACAUGGAAAUGUGCUUUGAAAUUGUGCAAAUGUUAAGCAUGUGAUUAGAAGUAGAGAAAACAAAUGACACACUCAUUACAAAAACAAAUCAAACAUACAAAAUAAUCAUAAAUUAUACAGUCUUAUACUCUUCCAAUUUACAUAAAAUCUUCAAGAAAUUGUUGCCAUUGAACACAUGGCUACAAUAUAUACAAAAUACUCAGUUUUAAGGGAAACUAACUUAGCUGUCCUGAGUAACCUAAUCAAAUGUCACAAUUCAAAUUAAUUUGUCCUUUACACCUCUAGUGGAGAAAAGUGCCAGACUGAAGCCAUAUACUAUACAAAGGCCGCAGACCACACUAAAGAAUGCAGCUCCCAGAGUGUCUGAAAGGGUGACUGGUGGAAAAUGAGCAUGAAGCCACUGCUUUCGUGCAGCCAUGUCAAGUUCAAUGGCAGUCAUCUGGAAAUACGUGCCAAUAAUAGCGAACACAUGGAAGAGCUGAUGACUAUGACCUGUGAAGGCUAUGUAGUCAAAACUGCCAGGAGCCAAGCGUUCAGGCAGGUGUGUGGCAAAAAGAAAGCCAGUGAGGACAGCCAAUGACGUGUGCUGAUAGUGAACAGUAUUGGCUUCAUUAACAGUGCAACCCUCACCAGUGCACACAAAGAUCUAUAAAUGAAGGCAGAAAGUACUUUAAAUUAAUUAACUUUGCUCAGUUUCACAUUCAAUACAAACACAGCCAAAACAAAGAGUUAAUUUUUUUUGCAAAAUAACCCAAAACACUCACUCUAUAAAAGAGAGGGAUGUUGUCAAAGAGAUAUGGAUAGACAAAGGCGAUUAUCCGUAGACAUUUACUGAGUUUCUGAUCUAAUUUUCCAGAACAACUAAAAGAGAAUACAGUUAAUUUACUGAAAAUGUACCGUUUUUCAAUGUCAAGAUUAAAAAUGCAAAAGAGACAUUACCUUUUAAUGCUGUGAUGAUUAUACUGAAAAAAUGGUAAACCAAGUCUAAAAACGAAGAAAUACAAGUAUUUCAAUGUUAAUACCGUGCACUCAGGUCAAAAUCCACAAAGCAGGUUAGAAAUAUUACUAACUUUUGAUUUAUUGAUUACUUAUCCUACCUUGAGUAGCAGGCCAGUGCAGUGGAGAUAACAGAAUUGACAACAGCUAUAGGAACAUAGUAUUUGUGAAAUGUGCUAUUGACCCAUUUAUCUGGAAAUGAAUAAGAAGAGUAGGUGAUGGCAGAACCUGUGGUCGAUCAAAUACACAAAUAAACAAAAAGUUAGGAUAAUUCAGUCACAAAAACAUUACAUAAGUAUAUAAAUAUAGUUUACUCAUUAGUUGAGUUAUAUUCUCUCCAUACCAAGGCUGUAGAAGCUGAGUGCUCCAUAAUCAAAGAAGAAGCAGAUGUGCCUAGCCCUCUCUGACAUGGUACUGAAGGUAUGAGCACAGCUGGAAGCGAGUGGGUACACGCAGCAUGACAAAAGGAACACCAGCAAGGGCCAGGUGAAAGGAUCCUGCCAGUCAUCCUGCACUAGUACUACUGUCAGUUUCCAUAAGAAAAACCUUGCAAAAAACAACAUUACUUUACAUUCUAAAAAUGCAAGCAUGCAUCAAAAGCUGCAGUGUAACAGAGGCAUCAAUGCUCUUGCAAUAAAAAGUAUUUUAGAUUUUUAAUAUUUGUAAAUAUAAGUUUUCAGCAACCCUAUAAAUAGUAUAAGUUAAUGUGGCAACAAUUAAGUUGACCUUGAAAAAGGCUCUAUGACAUAUUGACAUUCUCAGCAAUGUCUAAUGUUUUACUGUACAUGAGUAACCUGGAGUUCAGUCUUCAAUGCAAAGAGUUAAAAAAUAAUUUAAUGUGGUAUUAAUUAAGUUAAUCUUGUAGGAAGCUUAAAUUAAAUGCUCAAAUUUGUCAUAAUUUUAACAUUAGCUAAUGUAACUGUAUCAAAAUAAUUUACCAUGUAGGCAGAAAAUGAGUCCAAAUAUUGAGGGUUUCAUUCGUUAGCUGGAAAAGACUAAGCACACAAUCUUUGGCAGAGCUGCAUGGGUGGCGAUACCCUGAAAUUAUGCCAUCCUCAUGGAAGAC